GGAUCAAAAGCUGGCGAGGCGACUCUCUGGUCUGUAACUGACGCUGAGGAGCGAAAGCGUGGGGAGCGAACAGGAUUAGAUACCCUGGUAGUCCACGCCGUAAACGAUGAGUGCUAAGUGUUAGGGGGUUUCCGCCCCUUAGUGCUGCAGCUAACGCAUUAAGCACUCCGCCUGGGGAGUACGGUCGCAAGACUGAAACUCAAAGGAAUUGACGGGGGCCCGCACAAGCGGUGGAGCAUGUGGUUUAAUUCGAAGCAACGCGAAGAACCUUACCAGGUCUUGACAUCCUCUGACAACCCUAGAGAUAGGGCUUUCCCUUCGGGGACAGAGUGACAGGUGGUGCAUGGUUGUCGUCAGCUCGUGUCGUGAGAUGUUGGGUUAAGUCCCGCAACGAGCGCAACCCUUGAUCUUAGUUGCCAGCAUUCAGUUGGGCACUCUAAGGUGACUGCCGGUGACAAACCGGAGGAAGGUGGGGAUGACGUCAAAUCAUCAUGCCCCUUAUGACCUGGGCUACACACGUGYUACAAUGGACAGAACAAAGGGCUGCGAGACCGCAAGGUUUAGCCAAUCCCACAAAUCUGUUCUCAGUUUCGGAUCGCAGUCUGCAACUCGACUGCGUGAAGCUGGAUUGCUAGUA
rnacentral:rRNA from 1 species